GAGGGUAUAGCUCAGUGGUAGAGUGCAUGCUUAGCAUGCAUGAGGUCCUGGGUUCAAUUCCCAGUACCUACA
rnacentral:tRNA from 1 species